rnacentral:rRNA from 1 species
CCUACGGGGGGCAGCAGUCGAGAAUCAUUCACAAUGGGGGAAACCCUGAUGGUGCGACGCCGCGUGGGGGAAUGAAGGUCUUCGGAUGGUAAACCCCUGUCAUGUGGGAGAAAAUUAAAAAGAUAGUACCACAAGAGGAAGAGACGGCUGACUCUGUGCCAGCAGCCGCGGUAAUACAGGGGUCUCAAGCGUUGUUCGGAAUCACUGGGCGUAAAGCUUGCGUAGGCGGUUUCGUAGGUCGUGUGGGAACGGCGCGGGCCCAACCCGCGGACGGCACAUGAUACUGGGAGACUGGAGUAGUGGAGGGCGAACCGGAAUUCUGGGUGUAGCGGUGAA